GAUGAACGCUGGCGGCGUGCCUAAUACAUGCAAGUCGAGCGAACAGAUGAGGAGCUUGCUCCUCUGACGUUAGCGGCGGACGGGUGAGUAACACGUGGAUAACCUACCUAUAAGACUGGGAUAACUUCGGGAAACCGGAGCUAAUACCGGAUAAUAUAUUCAACCGCAUGGUUCAAUAGUGAAAGACGGUUUUGCUGUCACUUAUAGAUGGAUCCGCGCCGCAUUAGCUAGUUGGUAAGGUAACGGCUUACCAAGGCAACGAUGCGUAGCCGACCUGAGAGGGUGAUCGGCCACACUGGAACUGAGACACGGUCCAGACUCCUACGGGAGGCAGCAGUAGGGAAUCUUCCGCAAUGGGCGAAAGCCUGACGGAGCAACGCCGCGUGAGUGAUGAAGGUCUUCGGAUCGUAAAACUCUGUUAUUAGGGAAGAACAAAUGUGUAAGUAACUAUGCACGUCUUGACGGUACCUAAUCAGAAAGCCACGGCUAACUACGUG
rnacentral:rRNA from 1 species